rnacentral:rRNA from 1 species
CCUACGGGUGGCAGCAGUGGGGAAUAUUGCGCAAUGGGCGAAAGCCUGACGCAGCGACGCCGCGUGAGGGAUGAAGGUCUUCGGAUCGUAAACCUCUGUCAGCAGGGAAGAACGGUCACGGGGCUAAUCAGCAGUGAAUUGACGGUACCUGCAAAGGAAGCACCGGCUAACUCCGUGCCAGCAGCCGCGGUAAUACGGAGGGUGCGCGCGUUAAGCGGAAUUACUGGGCGUAACGCGCUCGUAGGCGGUAUGUCAAGUCAAGGGUGAAAUCCCCGCGCGCAACGUGGGAACUGCCUUUGAAACUGGCAAACUGGUGUGUGUGAGAGGUUAGUGGACUUCCAGGUGUAGGAGU